UGCUAGUCUCAGAUUGGGUGUCAUUACUGUCAAUGGAAAGAUAGAUGUCCUUGGGACUUUGGAGCAGGCAGUUUUGCUAUGGAGGAUACACAAGCACAAGUUAGCAUUAUGGAUUUAGUUGAGCAGAUCGAGAUUGAGAGUAUUGGAUAUCAUACAGCUUUGAGCAGAAUGUACUUGUACUGAAACCGAGUUUGUGUGUUGGACGAUAAGCUGUUAAGAAAAGAGAUCUUACGGCAAACACAUCACUCGUGUUUCUCUACCUAUCGGGAACACCAAAGGGUACAAAGAUAUGAAGAGUUAACUAUAAUUGGUGUAGUAUGAAGAGAGUGUAACUACAUUGCGUCGCGGUGUCAGACAUGUCAUAUGGCUAUUACAGAGGAGCAGUUAUCUAUCAUAUUAUUUUUGAGCUUGCUUUUGCCGGAGUGGAAAUGAGGCAUGGUGAUUUUGGACAUUGUUAUUGGAUUUUAAAUCACCAUAUGUGGAAAGGAUGCCACAUGGGUAGUCAUGGAUAGACUUACCAAGUCAGUCUAUUUUCUAAGUAAUUAAGAAGACAGUCAGAGCUAAUCUGUUAGAACAGACCUACAUUAUUGAGUUUGGGAGGUUUCAUGGAUGUCAACAUUGUAUCGGAUUGGGAAUCGAAGUUCACGUCCACAUUUCAGAGAGCCUUUCGGAAGGCGCUUGGGACAAAGGUCAUAUGAGUACAGCUUAUCACCCGUUGACAGAUUCUCAGUCAAAGAGGACUACUCAGAACUUAAAGGAUAUGUUAAGGAAUUGCAUCUUCCGGUGGGAUAGAAGUUCGAAAAGCAUAUACAUCUAACAAAGUUGCCUACAUCGACAACAAUCAUUGAGUAAUGAGAUAUUGCUAUAAGGGGUUAUUUAUGGUAGACCUUAUCGUAUACCACUUUGUUAUACCAAAGUGGGGGAGCAACAUGAGUUAGGAGUAUGAAUGGUUCAAGAGACGGUAGAGCAAAUGGACAUACUCAAGGAUUGGCUUUGGGAAGCCCAUGAUGUCAGAGGAUUUAUGCAGCUAAACGCCGUGAGGAUUUGGAGUUACAUAUGGGCGAUUUAGUAUACCUGAAAAUAAUGACAUUUCAGAGAGGAAUUAAGACCAAUAAGUUGAAGCAACUUAAACCGAGGUACAUUGGACUGUAUCCUUCGGUGGAGCAAAUUGAAACAGUUGAUUGCAGUUAUUUUAUCAGUAGUAUAUCAGCCUUCCAUGACUUGGUUCGUAUGACAGCAUUGCGAAAGUUGAGAAGGCGCCAUAAUUUAUUUUGUAGUAGACGUCAAGUGACUUCAGAAAGAUUUUAUGGACCUUAUCAUCUAUUGGAGAUUUUGGAUCAUCAAGUGAAAAUAAUUCGGGAAAUGUCGACCGUGUUUGUCCGAGUUCGUUGGGAGAAAGAGAAGACUCAGGAGGAGACCUGAAAGGCCCAGCGAGGAUUAGUAUUCGAGGUUUUGUUAUGACGACAUUGGGCAUAUCAGCUUAUGACUUGAAUUCGGGACGAAUUCCUUGUAAGUGGGGGAGAAUUGUAACGACCUUAAUACUCCCCAAAGGCCACAUUUGUUUUUUUUUAAAGUGAGAGAGAGAGAGAGAUAGAGAGAGAGAGAGAGAGAGAGAGAGAGAGAGAGAGAUUGGAGCCACCUGAGCUCGCCCUAGAACCACCGUACAUUGAGACUUCACCAAGCUUGUCACCACCGUUCGCCACAGCUGAGAAUCGCCAGAAACCGCUGCCUCUUAAGCUUUGUUUUCAUCCGUUCAGUAAAUCGGCCAUAACUUCUUAAACGCUGCGAAUAUCGUGCAUCCAAGGCCAUCAUCAUGUUCCUCUCGACGAGACGAAGCCGUAGCCGCCGACUGCGCCGCAAUCGGAGCCCAGAUGAGCCCGCACGCGCCUCCGCAAGUUUCGUCGUCCGAGCGCUUGACGGCCACGCGCCGCUGUCGGAAAUCGUCUCCGCCGCCGUCCUCCGCCGUAGUUCCGCCGUCGCCGCCGGGCAACUUUCCGAUUUGGAGUCCUUUUGAAUAGCUGGAGUUCAUAGAUACCACUUCUCUUCAUUGCUAAGGUGAGAUCGAUGAGCAGGAGUGAUCUUAUCGGACUUGGGCUUCUUGGUGCUAUUUGGGCUUUUGGGCUUUUACCACUAUCGGGCUUUGGACUUCUAUCACUCUUAUCGUUUUAUCGCUUUUGGGCCUUUGGGCUUCUAUCUAUCGUUUAUGUUUAUUUCUCAUUUCAGACUUUCGGUUUAUGUCGUACUUUAUAUUUCGGAUGUUAUCGUUAUCGGACCUUUUGACCUUAUGCUAUCGUAUUGACUUUUAUAUUAUGAUGGAGAUUAUUAUUAUUA